UACAGAGGUGGCAAGCGUUGUUCGGAAUUACUGGGCGUAAAGGGCGCGCAGGCGGCCGGCCAAGUCAGGCGUGAAAGCCCCGGGCUUAACCUGGGAAUUGCGUCUGGGACUGGUUGGCUAGAGAUCGGGAGAGGAGAGUGGAAUUCCCAGUGUAGAGGUGAAAUUCGUAGAUAUUGGGAAGAACACCGGUGGCGAAGGCGGAUCUCUGGGCCGAUACUGACGCUGAGGAGCGAAAGCGUGGGGAGCGAACAGG
rnacentral:rRNA from 1 species